rnacentral:rRNA from 1 species
UAAACUAGGCCUGUGGGGCCUUCAUGGAAGCGCACUGCUAGGCUAUGCUAAGCAUUGGCUUUCCACUAUGGCUAUAGCAUGAUUUCCAUGGAGACCAACAACUUCCUGCCUAAUGCGCCCAAAGCCUUGCCUGGGCUUACCCUCGUAGAUGCAGUUCCUGCUCUGUAGAGAUGGCGUUUUUCCUGGUGCAACGUAGCCCCGGCGAAUAAGGAGCAGGCGCACGAUUGGUUGCCUAGCCUGCCGCGAUAAUACCCAGCUCAUCCUGAGAUGCUCCGCAUGAUUACUGCUACAUUACGCCUGUCGUAGCCUGCCUUUUUUAACUCAUCCGUGUUAAACUCAGCUGACCCUACUCAUUGAGCCGCGGGCAGCACACUUACUUAGGCAUAGGCGGGCGGGG